CAUGUGGUGUCCAAGGAGAAGACCAAAAUGAAGGACAGAGAUGCUCUGUCUGUUACGUAAAUAAUCCGAAUACACCUAUAGGAGAAUGUGAACAUAAAUUUUGCAUAAAUUGUAUAGAUAAUUGGAAAUUUAAUAAGAGAACCUACCGUUGUCCUUUGUGCAAUCAUGUAUACGAUAACCUUGACUUUAUAGCUAAUGAAUUGUCUGCUUAUUUGAGAAGUAA